rnacentral:tRNA from 3 species
GCCGGAGUGGCGGAACUGGCAGACGCAGGGGAUUCAAAAUCCCCCGCCCGCAAGGGCGUGCGGGUUCGACUCCCGCCUCCGGCACCA